rnacentral:rRNA from 1 species
AACGAACGCUGGCGGCAGGCCUAACACAUGCAAGUCGAGCGGACCCUUCGGGGUUAGCGGCGGACGGGUGAGUAACGCGUGGGAAUAUGCCCUUCUCUACGGAAUAGUCCUGGGAAACUGGGGGUAAUACCGUAUACGCCCUUUGGGGGAAAGAUUUAUCGGGGAAGGAUUAGCCCGCGUUGGAUUAGGUGGUUGGUGGGGUAAUGGCCUACCAAGCCGACGAUCCAUAGCUGGUUUGAGAGGAUGAUCAGCCACACUGGGACUGAGACACGGCCCAGACUCCUACGGGAGGCAGCAGUGGGGAAUCUUAGACAAUGGGGGCAACCCUGAUCUAGCCAUGCCGCGUGAGUGAUGAAGGCCUUAGGGUUGUAAAGCUCUUUCAGCUGGGAAGAUAAUGACGGUACCAGCAGAAGAAGCCCCGGCUAACUCCGUG